UCUGAGCGGAAGAGGAGCCCAAGCGGGCUCGGGUGCUCACCUGCGCCCCCUGGGGGCCGAGGGGGGAAGAGACCGCAAGGCGAGACCAGGAGCCUGGGACCAGGCCGGACGCGACAGCAGGUGCAGGAGGGCGACGCUGGGCUGGACCCGGCGGGGCCGCGGAGGUGGGCAGAAGUCCAAGGUUUGGAUGUGAGUGGAGAGAGAGCGAGAAAGGGGUCAAGUCAAGGAUGACACGAGGCUUCUGACCGCGGUACCUGGAGCCCCCAGCCCUCUCCAGCCCCCUGCUCCAGCAGCCCCCGCCUCGCUCCUGUGUCCCCCUCAGAUGGUUCAGGUAGAGGCCACAUGCUGCCCUCGCCUCUUAGGCCUUGGCUCUUCCCUGUGGCCUCUCACGCAUGGCAUUUGCCUUCUCCAUUCUCAAGACAGGAAGUCAGAUGAGGCUGGAGAGGGGCGGAGAGCUGUCAGGGCCCCCACCCCCAAAAGGACUGGGGAUCUGCCUCCUCCCUCCCAUCCGAGCCCAGACUAACCGGCUCCCAUUUUGCCCCCCGGUCGGCGCAUCGCUCUCUCUGUCUCCCUCUGGAAUUUUCGUUCUCUUUACGGUAACCAAAUUACCCCAUCUCUGCUUCUCGCCAGGGACGGCCUGCUCAGCGCAGCGCAGCGUGGGCUAGAAGGGCCAGGGUCACAGGGCGAGCGAUUAAACCAUCAAUCACCCGCCGAUGCUGACAGCCACCCCUCACCUGGGACCCUCCGCCCCGUCUGCGAGCCCCGGGGCCAGCGGCAACUCAAAAACAGGCCUGGAGGCCUCCGAACCCUUCAAGGUAACAAGCCUCCGUGCUUUGCACUGGCUGUUCCCUCUGCCUGGAAUGCUCUUCCUCCACAUACCACGUGACUCCUCUUUGCCUGCUUCGGAGCUUCGUUCAGAUGUCACCUCCUCAGUGAGGACACCCAGUUAAAAGCGCCUGCCCCACCCACGCGGUUUUGUUGUUUCUCGAGCGGGCAAGCACCCCCACCUAAUGUACCGGAGGCUGUGUUUGCUGGGUCGGUCUGACCACCUCACUGGAGUGUCAGCCCUAGGGCAGGGGUGUACCCCCUUCAUCGCCCGGCACAGCACCUGGCAUGAAGUAAACACUCGGUGAAUUCUUGUUGAACGAACGAACGAAUGAAUGCAUUCCAAAGCUG